GUAGUCAUAUGCUUGUCUCAAAGAUUAAGCCAUGCAUGUCUAAGUAUAAGCCUUUACACGGCGAAACUGCGAAUGGCUCAUUAAAACAGUUAUAGUUUAUUCGAUGACUAAUUUACUACAUGGAUAACCGUAGUAAUUCUAGAGCUAAUACAUGCGCAAAGACCCGACUCUCGCGGAAGGGUUGUGCUUAUUAGAUACAGAACCAGUCUGGGGAAACCCAGUUCUCACUGGUGAUUCAUAAUAAUCCAACGAAUCGCAUGCCUUUGGCGGCGAUGGAUCGUUCAAGUUUCUGACCUAUCAGCUACCGACGGUAGGGUAUUGGCCUACCGUGGCUUUGACGGGUAACGGAGAAUUAGGGUUCGAUUCCGGAGAGGGAGCCUGAGAAACGGCUACCACAUCUAAGGAUGGCAGCAGGCGCGCAAAUUACCCAAUCCUGACACAGGGAGGUAGUGACAAGAAAUAACAAUACGGGGCAACUUUGUCUUGUAAUUGGAAUGAGUGAGGUUUAAAUCCUCUCACGAGUAUCAAUUGGAGGGCAAGUCUGGUGCCAGCAGCCGCGGUAAUUCCAGCUCCAAUAGCGUAUAUUAAAGUUGUUGCGGUUAAAAAGCUCGUAGUUGGAUUUCUGUCGAGGUUGACCGGUCCGUUUACUCUUCGGAGGGAAUGUGAUCAUGGCUCGACCGAGACAUUCUCCGGACGUAGCUGUCAUACUUUACUGUGAGCUGUGAAAUCCGGUCUUUUACUUUGAGGAAAUUAGAGUGUUUCAAGCAGGCGUAUGCCUUGAAUACAUUAGCAUGGAAUAAUACGAUAGGACUUUGGUUCUAUUUUAUUGGUUUCUAGAACUGAAGUAAUGAUUAAUAGGGACAGUCGGGGGCAUUCGUACUUAACAGUCAGAGGUGAAAUUCUUGGAUUUGUUAAAGACGAACUACUGCGAAAGCAUUUGCCAAGGAUGUUUUCAUUGAUCAAGAACGAAAGUUAGGGGAUCGAAGACGAUUAGAUGCCGUCCUAGUCUUAACCAUAAACCAUGCCGACUAGAGAUUGGAGGCCGUUUAUUCGACGCCUUCAGCACCUCGUGAGAAAUCAAAGUCUUUGGGUUCCGGGGGGAGUAUGGUCGCAAGGCUGAAACUUAAAGGAAUGACGGAAGAAUCGUCGACUGCAGCACGUC
rnacentral:rRNA from 1 species